rnacentral:tRNA from 1 species
GUAGGCAUAGUUUAAUUAAAACACUAGAUUGUGAUUCUAGCAAUAGGAGUUAAACCCUCCUUGCCCACC